GACGAACGCUGGCGGCGUGCCUAAUACAUGCAAGUCGAGCGAAUCAAGGGGAGCUUGCUCCCUGAGGUUAGCGGCGGACGGGUGAGUAACACGUGGGUAACCUGCCUGUAAGAUUGGGAUAACUCCGGGAAACCGGAGCUAAUACCGGAUAAUAUUUUGAACCGCAUGGUUCAAAAUUGAAAGACGGCUUCGGCUGUCACUUACAGAUGGACCCGCGGCGCAUUAGCUAGUUGGUGAGGUAACGGCUCACCAAGGCGACGAUGCGUAGCCGACCUGAGAGGGUGAUCGGCCACACUGGGACUGAGACACGGCCCAGACUCCUACGGGAGGCAGCAGUAGGGAAUCUUCCGCAAUGGACGAAAGUCUGACGGAGCAACGCCGCGUGAACGAUGAAGGCCUUCGGGUCGUAAAGUUCUGUUGUUAGGGAAGAACAAGUACCAGAGUAACUGCUGGUACCUUGACGGUACC
rnacentral:rRNA from 1 species